rnacentral:rRNA from 1 species
AAGAUGAUACACUCCACUCCUAGACUAAGCCAUGCAAGUCAAGAAGUUCCAUCCACAGAGAUCUCCAUUAUGCACAUGUUACGCAAUGGACUGCAGUCUGGCGACUCCUAGGGAUAGCUGGAGCAACACUUCGGUCAACACCGAAGAUGUCCUCGUAAGAGUGAUGGACCCCUUAUAGGGGCUGUCCUUGCGGCGUGUGUCCUAUCAGCUAGUAGUUAGGUUAAACUCCUUUCUAGGCUAUGACGGGUAACGGGCGGUAUAUGUCGAACUGCCGGAGAAGGCGCCUCAGAGAUUGCGACUAUGUCUACGGACAGCAGCAGGCGCGGAACUUAUCCACUUCAACUAGAGACUUCAGAUAUGGUAAGGAGUUGUUCCCACGUGGUUUACCACUGGGAUAGGUUAUGUACUAGACGUACAUUAGAAACCAAGUCGAGGGCCAGUCUGGUGCCAGCAGCUGCGGUAAUUCCAGCUCGACGAGUGUCAUAUUAUAUGAUGCGGUUCCAAGCUCGUAGCCACCUUUGGACACUUUGUCUUGCUCGUCAGGGCAUUCAUCGUGGACAAACUAGGAUUGCUUAGGGUAUGGCUCAUGAAUACCUUAACUCGAGAUGGACUCCCAACUAGACCUAGCUAGUACAUCUCAUUGACCACAUCAGAGGUUAUCCAUACUACUUGGCGAGCGGUGAAAUGUGUUGACCCUUGUAGGAUGAUCGAAGGCGAAAGCAGAUAACCAUGGUGUCGGUGUCGGCCAAGAGCAGUUCUCAAGGGACAGAACCGGAUUAGAGACCCGGGUAUGCUUGAGAGGAAAAUAUGUCGUCCAAGCCCAGCAGCAAUGCAUGGUUGGAUGAGAAAUCGUAGACCCAGGCCUCUGGGGGUAUUACGACCGCAAGAUUGAAACUUGAAGGAAUUGACGGAAGCUUACACAAGGAGUGGAGCCUGUGGCUCAAUUUGAAUCAACACGGGGCAACUCACCAAGGUAAGGUGGGCGUUGGGACUGACAAUCUAAAGACAUUUCCGGAUGGAACUUAUGGUGGUGCAUGGCUGUUGGUGGUGCGUGGGAUGAUUCGUCCUAGUUGAUUCUGCCAACGAGCGAGACUUCCACAGAUCAUUGGUCUCUCAAGGUCAAUGAGAUGGAUGUCUCUCACUACGAGUGAUGAAAUAGGAAGCAAUAACAAGUCCGUGAUGUCCUUUAGAUAUCCUGGGUUGCACGCGUGCAACAAUGAGCUUGGUUGAACAUGAAGCCAAGUUGUCAGAACUAGCGAAUCCUGAGACCGGAUUGCCGUAGUUGGAGUUGGGUAUUGUAAUGAUACCCAUGAACCAGGAAUUCCUUGUAAGGGUGGCUCAACACACUGCCCUGAAUCUUGUCCCUGAGCUUUGUACACACCGCCCGUCGCUCCUACUGAUUGGACUAGGGGAUGAAUUACCCGGAAGCAAUGAAGGGUGUUAAGUCAACUAGUUUAGAAGAAGGAGAAGUCGUAACAAGGUAAUA